ensembl:snRNA U6 U6 spliceosomal RNA
AUGCUUGAUUGGGCAGCACAUGUACUAAAAUUGGAAUGAUGUGGAGAAGUAUAUCAUGGUCCUUGUAUAAGAAUAACAUACAGAUUCACGAUGUUUUUCAUAUUAAA